CCAACGAAUACCGGCACCUCCGGCUGACCGGCUCCCCGCCGAGCCGCCUGCCCAGCAGCGCUUCGGUCACGACUUUAAUGAACCAUUUUUGCUUCGGGAGGAGCCGGUUACGGCCCCGAGAGGGUGCGAGCCGGGCUGAGGAGCCCUCUUGCCUCCUCGGCGACGCUAAUGAAACCCAGCGUCCUUUGAGACACGGAAGAAGCCUGUUAGAAUCAUCGGACAAUAUACCUGACUAAUGGGAUUUCUUUAUUGCUUCUCCAGGUCGGCUGCUUGCUGGACUGGCCGGAGUGACAGCAGCUGGGAGUCGGCAGAGAGGUGCGCUCAGAGGGAUGGGGUCCCUGCCGACGGCAGGGGUGGAAUGACAUGAUCUCUGAUGUCCCUUCCAGCCCGAACCAUUCCGAGAUUCUCUGAUUCCGUUUGAAAAGCGAGGGUAAAGGCCACCGGCCGUCAGCGACAGCCCUUCCAAAUGUGCUCGAUAAUAUCCCAGUGCAUUUAGAAGCAGGGCUGGGGCUCCCCCUGACUAGCACCGAUAAACCUUGGUGGCCCAUGAGUGACCAUAAGGAAAUCACAGCAGGCCUCACCUGCACACAGGUUUCGUGGUGAUGGAUAAUUUUGGACAGUGCAGCAUAAUAAUUUCAUUUUCUAAUUACAUUUCCCAGCUGUGAAGAGCCCGUGUGGUGCUGCUGGGCUGCGAUGGGCAAUACCCGCAGAGUUGGCUCAGCCCAGGCGCUCGGAGAUGCCCAGCAGGAGCUCCGGGGAAGAUCUGGAUGAAUUCGUUCCAUGCUGUAACUUCUCCUCAGAGCCCUGCUCUGCCUGUGGGAAUGAUCUCACUCGGCAGCACCCAAAGCUGCUGAAAAAACUGCGAGGGUGAUUUGCCAGUGCAAUGUAAUUCUGGGGCCAGUAAAUGAUAUUUGUAGCUAAUA